UAUACUAAAUAGUAAUGUUUGUUUAUUUAUUUAGGUUGGCUACCUAUGAUCUAUCUGAGUUGCAAAUUGAGGGUGAUGGAAAUUUCCAAGUUCAAUAUCAGACAUAUAUGUCACCUCAAUUUAUUUGUUUGCUUGGAUUAAGUCAAACAUACUGCACUUAUGAUUUGUAAUAUACUUAGUCAACAUGCUGCAGUUUCGAGCAAUAGCUGAUCAGUUUUUUGCAAUCCAGAUUACCAUAAGCAUGUUAGAAAGCAGGUAUGACUGAUCAAAGGCAUCUACUUCACUCCUCAUGUUAGCUCUUUCCCCUGAUAGGAAUUUCUUUAACUUGCUUUAGUUACUGUUAGGCAAAACUAAUACCAGAAUUUUCAAAACAAAAUAAAUAGUCUUUGUGAGCUUAAGAGUUUUACACUAUGAUGGAAGGCAAACAUUUAUCAGAUAUUCAAGUGUUUUUUCACUUAUCUCAAUGUUUACUUCACCGCUAACAGAUCACUUUUAACUUGCUUUCAGACACUGCAAUUUCUGAGUUUCUUUAAUUUCACAUUUACCACACAUGUGAUUUAACAUAUAUCCAUUAUUUCAUAAAUUAGUGAUCAAGACAAGGAGCUUUAAGUUCAUGCCAUUCUAUCUUUCUCUUGCAACCUUCUUGAUGAGUCUCUCUUUCCCUGCAUACGGCCUUUUCAGAGAAGAUCCAUUCAUAUAUAUACCCUAUUCACAGCAAAGCGCGGGCACGCUUUCUAGUCACUAUUACACAAUGGAGAAUGUUGAUGUUGUCCAGGCAGAGUGGGCAAAGUAUGUUCUUAAGUUCAAAGAUAACUAGUGUGUAGGUUAACUAGUAGUUGGAGAUAUGUAGCAUCAACUUUUGGACAUGCGUAGUUGAUAUAUAUAUUAGGCCAGAUUUUGAUUGCAGUACUGCUAGCUAUUUUGCUAUGUUGUUUAGUUGGUUGCCCAGAUUGUGUAGUGCUUCUGGUUUAUUAGCAAGCAGUACUAUAUGCAUAUAUUUUGCUGGCUGCCCAGAUUAGUAGAUAUGGGCCAUUUAGAAUUGAUGUUGAUGAUUAGGUUUGUGUACAUGAGACAAUGGUGGAUUAAUGGAAAUUGCAAUGAAUAAUUUUGGAUGUGGA